rnacentral:lncRNA from 1 species
AUUCUCAGAUGCCUUUCUCCCAAGAAACGUUCAUACCCUGGCAGCCUCCUUCAAGGAAUCGACUGUUCUGGGUCUGCAGGGUCUCCCCUCCUCUCCUGACCCUCUCCUCUCAGUCACACAGUCCUCUGAGGUUUUUAUCAGUGUUGAUUAGAGAUAACAGAUGGACUCCAUGGACACGCAGGUUCAUUCCGUCGACGUUCACCACGAGCCUUCCACUGCUGAGGUUGCAAGAUGAGCACCCUCAAUGGAGAGAAUGA